rnacentral:lncRNA from 1 species
AUGAAUUAUAAAUAUGAAAUCUUUUCUCGGGGCAAUUCCCACCGACCAAGGUGGGGAGAAGAGCAAGGACUGUGUGCGAGACAUCCUUCUUCUGAAACAUGCUUUGUUAAGGUGAGCGUCAUUGAGAAGCAGAUGAAAUGUCCCACCUGCUGCUGGUUUGAUGCAUUCUUUCUGAUGAGAAGGAUGAAGACUGUGUCUGACAGAGCCAAACUUAAAAAAAAAAAAAACAAAAAAACCCUUUGA